ensembl:snRNA U6 U6 spliceosomal RNA
GUGCACACUUCUGCAGCACAUACGUCUGGGACGACACAGAGAUUAGCAGGGCUCUGCACAAGGAUGACAUGCAGAUUCAUGAAACAUUCCAUAUAUUU